rnacentral:lncRNA from 1 species
AGACUUAGCAGUUUGACUAACGGAUGUAUGAGACUGUCCCAAAAUUUACACUUUAGAUAUGACUCUGAGACAAAAAAAACUUGAUGUACUAAAUAUUGAAAACCAUGAAACAUGAGGGUAGUAAACAGUCUUUUGCCUAAAAAUUAAUUAAUAAACUAAACCCACAAAUUUCCCUUAUCCACAAGGGAAAAAAAAAGCAAUGAGUUUGUAGUUUAGUUAGUUAAAGCACUCAUUCUUAUAUCUAAGGACUCAAGUUUGAUUUUUCCCUCCCACUUGCAUUAAACAAAGCAAAAAAUUACACAAGAAAAUAGAAGAAAGCAAAUUAAUAAUUUUAGAAAAAUAGUGGCCAGGGAGAGGGGGGAAUCAAGACGACGCUCAAUUAACCUUCCUUUACUUAUUUAUUGCCCAUCUUUACAAUAUAUACACCAUUAAGAAAACUAUAUUUGUACGCUAUAAGUGAUCCAUAUACCAACAUUCAAUAACGUAAAGUCAUUUUUCUGCAUGACCUGUACAUAUUCCUUGCCAUAGACAUUCACCACAAGAAAACAUAGAUUAGGUAACAAUUUUUUUGUGGUGCAUAAAAGUUCAUCACAUUUGGGUAAAAUAAGUGAGUUUUUUAGAAAUUGUCACAUAAGAAUUUUUUCGGACACCAAAAUAUUUUGCAUCACAUAAACAUUUUAGAUUCUCCACAAACUAUUGGGCGAGAAAUUUUACAACCGAAUAUGUGAUGAAAGUUUAACAUUCACCAAAUAACAUAAGAGAAGGUCAACUGCUAGGCAAUUCAUCAAUAUAGUAUUAAAACUAAAAAAUAUUGAAACAAUAAUAUCAAAACCCCCUAAUUGUAAAGCCUAUGUCAUUAUGUUCUCACCCCGUCCCGUCUUUAGCUCCCUUUCGUUCCACUCUCGCAUUGCGACUCAGAUGACCAGCCACCUGGUGGUUGCCACCUACAGGGACCACCACCUAUUAUUCGUCUCCCUUCCUCAGGCAAUCUCUCUCACCCUCUGGUGCUCGUUCUCUAACUCUCACCUCUCUUUGACAUAACAAGACCCAAAUUGAGGAAAGAGAAAUUCAGUUUUUGUAUCGAGUUCUUAAGUCGACAACGAGGUCCUUAUUUGUUUCUUAUAUUCUUUAUUUAUUUAUUUUUAAUUUUCAUCUUCGAUCAGUUCUUUGCUUGAAAAAACUUAGACACCCAAUUAUCAAUUUCUUUUCUCUUCAGACUGAAUAAUGAUUGUUAUUCUUCUAUUUUCUCUUUUAAAUUUGUAGGUUAUUGGCAUUUGUGAACAACAUUUGAUUUGUUAUAAUUCUAUUAUUAUUUACUGAUUUAAUUAGUCCAAUGACCUAACAUUGGAAACUAAGCCAAAAGCUUUUGUUGGGAGGGAUAUAUAGGAAGCUGAAAUUGGUAAAUUGAUUGAACAUCUACAAUUUAGUUAGUCAGCUUUUAAAAUUUCUAUGUUAUGCUUUCAUGUAAUUAUGCUCUGAUGCAGAUUUACUUUUGUAUAUACAUAUAUGAAAUUCUUCUACUUUCAAUAUUUUUAGGAUUAAAGGUGCUCAAGCUUGAGAAUUAUUAAGUACAAGAAAAAAAUUUCAAGUCAAGUCAGUAUGUUGUCCUUAAUAUAUGCAAUUUACAAUGACAUAGUAUUCAUGCUACCUCUAGUCAAAAUUAUUAUUGCAUCUGAAUAGUAAUGAUGAGCAUGUAAAUGCUGAAAGCAUUCUGGUUUUUCUAUUAGAUUAUUGCAAAUUUUAGCACCUAGCAUGUUCUAUGUGACUUCAAUAUUUUCUAGUACGUUUAUUUUAGCAACUAGUUGCUCUUGAGCUAGAGAUAUGUGAAUUUUUUUAAAUUGAGUUUCUUGAUGUUUUUUGUUGUUAUGUUAUAUGUUUGUCUUAAUAAUUUUACGUAUAUUCUAUUAUGGCAGUUUAUUGAAAUAUGUCUAAGUGUGCAGCUCAAUACUAGGACUGAAGUAACCAGACUUCAUGCAUAGACGAUGGAUUAGUAGUUGGG